rnacentral:rRNA from 1 species
UAUGGAUAUACACCUAAAUCUUACUUAAAUUUGUUAAGUCAAUUUGUAUACCACUAUUCAAUUAAUUAUUCAUUUUCAUUUAUAAAAUUUAUGCAAAUUUC